rnacentral:rRNA from 1 species
GAUGAACGCUGACAGAAUGCUUAACACAUGCAAGUCUACCAAGAAUCACUUCGGUGAGGAAUGGUGGCGGACGGGUGAGUAACGCGUAAAUAAUCUGCCCUUUAGACUGGGAUAUCCUUUGGAAACGAAGGUUAAUACCGGAUAUUAUGAGAUGGACGCAUGUUCAACUUAUGAAAGCUAAAUGCACUAGAGGAGGAGUUUGCGUCCCAUUAGCUAGUUGGUGAGGUAAAGGCUCACCAAGGCCACGAUGGGUAGCCGGCCUGAGAAGGUGAACGGCCAAAAGGGAACUGAGACACGGUCCUUACUCCUACGGGAGGCAGCAGUGGGGAAUAUUGGACAAUGGACCAAAAGUCUGAUCCAGCAAUUCUGUGUGCACGAUGAAGGUCUUCGGAUUGUAAAGUGCUUUCAGUAGGGAAGAAAAAAAUGACGGUACCUACAGAAGAAGCGACGGCUAAAUAUGUGCCAGCAGCCGCAGUAA